UUCCCAAGAUGCAAAUGCAAAGCAACGUGAGAGGAACUUCCGUGUUGAGAAGGAUAUCAUCACAUAUAUCCAUAUUUUAUACUGUUAACCACAUUGUGCUUAGCAGUAACUUUGUUUUGUAUACGUAGAGCUAUAGUAUAGAUCACUAUUGGAUUGUAUGGACGAAAGAGCUUAUUUUAAUUGCUGAUAAUAGACAAACAUCGGUAUGGCAGACGGUGCCAGUGGUAACGCGGUGAAUCUUCCUCCCGGGGAUCCGCAGCUUAUUGGUCUCAUCGUAGAACAUCUGAAGAACCGAGGCCUUUUUGACGAGUUCCGCAGAGACUGUCUGGCAGAUGUGGAUACCAAGCCUGCCUACCAGAAUCUGCGACAAAAAGUAGACAACUUCGUCUCGACUCAUUUGAGCACUCAAGAUUGGAACCCAUCAAUCAACAAAAACCAAGUGCGAAAUGGACUAAGGCAAAGUGUACUUCAAUCAGGCAUGCUGGAGUCUGGAGUGGACAGAAUCAUCACACAGGUGGUGGAUCCAAAGUUGAAUCACACCUUCAGGCCCCACAUUGAGGAUGCCAUUCAUGACUUCUUGUCUGCUGAGAAGAAGGAGGAGGGUCCAUCCAACACUCAGUUGGACACAGAGCAGCAGGAAGCUGCAAGCCACACUGGUCCCAAAACACCUUAAGGUUACAUCUUUUUUUAUGAAAGUAGAAUUUUCUAGAACUCCAUCAGGCUGGAUGAGGGCCUCCAACUUUAAAGAUGUUUUGAGGGUGUUGUGUAGCAAGGGCUUUGUAAAAGGUUUGCACAACUCCUGUUACUUCUUCGUGUGAAGUAACCACAUUAUGGGGUUUAGCUGUCGUGAUGCUGGAUGUGAACAACUAUGAACUAAUGCACCCAACUACUAAGUCUGAGAAAUUGUGAAAAUGACACAUUAUGGUGUUUGGCAGGAGGCUAAUGUGAAAUCUAUUUCUUUGAGGACAAAAAGGUACUCAUCGUUUUUUUUUUGUGGUUAUUUAAUUAAAAGAAUGUUCCCUUUUGUAUUUCUUAAAAGCCAAAAGUAGCCUUAGUUUUUUUAGGGGGUAGAUCAGCUUGACCGUUAAAAUAUUUUCAAAUGAUCACAUAGCAUGUCUUGCAUCAUCUCUAAUUCACAUUUGUAUAAAACAACGUUCCCUCCAGAAAAUGGCCACCAAUGUAUAGUGACAGAAGAGAUGUUCUGAUGGUUUUGUUUCUUCGUGUCAGUCUCAAUGCUCCAAUGAUGAGCGUACUCUUUGAAGAAAGCUUUCUAUAUAACAUCUGUAUAUUUAAUUUAAAAUGUCUUGUUUUAUAUAUCAGAUCAUUGACCCAACACCAUGUUAUUAGUACGUUAAAGAACUGACUUGAAUUGUAUACCUCUGUCAAAACAUUUGACCUUAAAUAAAACUGAUGUUUAAUGUUAGUCUUUGUGUCAUGCACAUUCUUUUUGUAGAUAGCUCAUUAACAAAGUAUUUUUUUUUUAAUUCUGACGCUGGUGAAUAUUCUUAAUGUUUAUAUCCAAUAAAUCAAUGCUUUGUUAGAAAUCCUUUCAUUGCCCCAUGAUGUUUUAAACUGGGUCAGUGGAAAGUGUCCUGCACUGUUUUUGUCAGACGUUGUCUCUGAGCUUGUCUUACAUUAAAUGAUUGAAAAACUC